rnacentral:rRNA from 1 species
GACGGAGGAUGCAAGUGUUAUCCGGAAUCACUGGGCGUAAAGCGUCUGUAGGUGGUUCGAAAAGUCCACUGUUAAAAUUGAGGCUUAACUUCAAAGAUGCCGUGGAAACUUUCAAACUAGAGUAUGGUAGGGGUAGAGGGAAUUUCCAGUGGAGCGGUGAAAUGCGUAGAUAUUGGAAAGACCACCGAUGGCGAAGGCACUCUACUGGGCCAUUACUGACACUGAGAGACGAAAGCUAGGGGAGCAAAUGGG